GCCCCCGUAGCUCAGGGGAUAGAGCACACGCCUCCUAAGCGUGGGGUCACACGUUCGAUUCGUGUCGGGGGCGC
rnacentral:tRNA from 1 species